AGAAUUUCUACUCACAUAAUGCAACUAAUUUCAUUUUCAAAAUUACUUUGUGCAGCAUCAGCUUUGUUUCACAACUGGAAAUCACUGAGCAAGAGGAAAAUAUCAAACAAUAGCUUCAUCUGUUCACUGUCAAAGAUAAAUGAAGCUACAGAGAGAGAGAGAAAGAGAGAGGGAGAGAGACUGUGAAAAGAAAAAAGGAGUGAUCGAUCUAGAUUUAGAAAGAAGGAGAAGAGGGAUCUGAUUCUGGGUUUGUUUUGUGUUGCUCCGGGGAAUUUGAAGUUUAGUGAUCGUGUUGGAAGGAAGUGUGAAAGGAGAAGAGGUAAUCGUCCAGUUCCGGAGGAAGGUUUGGGUUUGUUUUAUGAAUUUGGAUUUAGUUUCUUCUUUUCUGCUUAUCGUCUUCUCUGAUUGUCCGCUUUUUCUGUAAACAAUUUUUUGAUGGGUGGUUUAUAGGUUGAAAAAGAGUGGGAGCGUUUCUCAGUUCGUGUAUAGGCGAGGAAAUCCAAAUUCAAAUCACAACCAUUAACAAGGUGUGUGCUUAAUCUAGAGGUUGUACAUAUUGAAGCAGCUAUUUCUUUGUUCAUUUCUAGGCUCAGAGGUUUGAAGCUGAGCAUUUGGGAACAACAGGAGGGAGAGUGAGUGCUUAUUUAAAGUGUUACUUUUGCAGCGUUACAUAUUAGCAUAUAGAGAGCUUGGACAACAACUUCGAUUUCAGCUGUUACUUGGUAAGCGUUAUGAAUCGUUUUCUUUUGUAUUUUUUGUUUGAGUUGGAUGUUUGAUAAGCUUUGCAUCUUUUGUUUUAACUGAUGUCAAGUUUAAAUAAGCUUAGUAAAUCAAUAAACAAAUACUUUGUUUCAGCUAUGUAGAAUCAUUUUUGUUGAUCUCGCAGCAUCGCGCGAGGGGGAUUAUCUAGUU